rnacentral:rRNA from 1 species
AGUGAACGCUGGCGGUAGGCCUAACACAUGCAAGUCGAACGGCAGCACAGUAAGAGCUUGCUCUUACGGGUGGCGAGUGGCGGACGGGUGAGGAAUACAUCGGAAUCUACUUUUUCGUGGGGGAUAACGUAGGGAAACUUACGCUAAUACCGCAUACGACCUACGGGUGAAAGCAUGGGAUCUUCGGACCUUGCGCGAUUGAAUGAGCCGAUGUCGGAUUAGCUAGUUGGCGGGGUAAAGGCCCACCAAGGCGACGAUCCGUAGCUGGUCUGAGAGGAUGAUCAGCCACACUGGAACUGAGACACGGACCAGACUCCUACGGGAGGCAGCAGUGGGGAAUAUUGGACAAUGGGCGCAAGCCUGAUCCAGCCAUACCGCGUGGGUGAAGAAGGCCUUCGGGUUGUAAAGCCCUUUUGUUGGGAAAGAAAAGCAGCAGGUUAAUACCCCGCUGUUCUGACGGUACCCAAAGAAUAAGCACCGGCUAACUUCGUG